rnacentral:rRNA from 1 species
UAGGGAAUCUUCCGCAAUGGACGAAAGUCUGACGGAGCAACGCCGCGUGAGCGAAGAAGGCCUUCGGGUCGUAAAGCUCUGUUGUAAGGGAAGAACAAGCAUCGGUUAACUGCCGGUGCCCUGACGGUACCUUACCAGAAAGCCACGGCUAACUACGUG